UGAUAAACAAAAGGGAAAGAGGAGAGGCACCCAAUAUAUGUUCUCUAGACCAUUUAGAAAACAUGGAGUUGUUUCUUUGGCCAUGUACAUAUGAAUCUAUAAGAAAAGUGAUACUGUAGACAUCAAGGGAAUGGGUACUGUUCAAAAAGGAAUGCCCAUAGGUGUUGCCAUGGAAAACUGGGAGAGUCUACAAUGUUACCCAGCAUGCUGUUGGCAUUGUUGUAAACAAACAGGUUAAGGGCAAGAUUCUUGCCAAUAGAAUUAAUGUGCGUAUUGAGCACACAAAGCACUCUAAGAGCUGAGAUAGUUUCCUGAAGCACGUGAAGGAAAAUUAUCAGAAAAAGGAAGAAGCCAAAGAGAAAAGUACCUGUGUUCAACUGAAGCCCCAGCCUGCUCCAUCCAGAGAAGUGCACUUUGUGAGAACCCAUGGGGAGGAGCCUGAGCUGCUGGAACCUCUUCUCUAUGAAUUCAUGGCAU
rnacentral:lncRNA from 1 species